rnacentral:rRNA from 1 species
GGGGACAACGUUUCGAAAGGAACGCUAAUACCGCAUACGUCCUACGGGAGAAAGCAGGGGACCUUCGGGCCUUGCGCUAUCAGAUGAGCCUAGGUCGGAUUAGCUAGUUGGUGAGGUAAUGGCUCACCAAGGCGACGAUCCGUAACUGGUCUGGAGAGGAUGAUCAGUCACACUGGAACUGAGACACGGUCCAGACUCCUACGGGAGGCAGCAGCC